rnacentral:tRNA from 1 species
AGGGCUAUAGCCAAGCGGUAAGGCAACGGACUUUGACUCCGUGAUCGAUUGUUCGAAUCAAUCUAGCCCUGCCA